rnacentral:rRNA from 1 species
GGAAUCUGAAAGGUGACCGACCCUUCCGGGGAGCCUGCACAGGUGCUGCAUGGCUGUCGUCAGCUCGUGUCGUGAGAUGUUCGGUUAAGUCCGCUAACGAGCGCAACCCUCGCCGUGUGUUACAUGUGUCACGCGGGACCGCCGGUCUUAAGCCGGAGGAAGGUGGGGAUGACGUCAAGUCAGCAUGGCCUUUAUAUCCUGGGCUACACACACGCUACAAUGGCCAGUACAACAGGUUGCGAAGCCGCGAGGCGGAGCCAAUCCUUAAAAGCUGGCCUCAGUUCAGAUCGCAGGCUGCAACUCGCCUACGUGAAGAUGGAGUUGCUAGUAACCGCAGGUCAGCUAUACUGCGGUGAAUACGUUCCCGGGCCUU